CUUUCUGGGCAUCCUUGUUCUGUGUUGAAAAAAAUAAAUAAUACUAUUAACAUAUUUUAUAAAAAAAGUAGCCCAUCUUUGCUUUUUUCCCCCCACUUAUUUCUUUCUCAGAGAAGAAAACUAACCUUUUCAUGUCCAACUGUGUAUUUACAGGUGAUACAUGUUKUGGUUUUGGAGUUCUGGCAUUGCCAGGACAAGAGGUUUAGGGUUAUGAACAGCUUUAAGGUUCAGCUCUUUAGCAACGAAUUUCUCUGCAAAGGUGCUGUUGCAGUAUCUUUAAACAAACUAAACUGUUCUCGCCUGAUGCUGGGAUUCGGGAUUAUCUGAACGCUGGGAGAACACUGAGCUGCAUUUUGCAAUAGACUCCUUGUUACAGCAGUGCUUAAGAUUGGCACAUACUUCAAACAUUGAAGCCAGGAGAAAACAAGCAUCCUUCUUUCCUGAAAGAGGUGUGGGAAUGUGCCUGCUGCAGAAGAUUCCCUCACAUCAAGGAGAAAGGAAAAAUGACAGUGGAAAAGGGAAGGAAAUGUUUUGGUUCUUCAAGGAAGAAGCCACUUGCAUCAUUAAGGGAUGUGCUUGAUUAGUUUCUCUCUGGACUAAAGGCCCAGCCAUGGGACAAGGCAGUAUUUACACAAAUCACAGGAGACACAUUAGAGCAGGAAAUACAAGGGUAGCACGACUGUGAUGAAAACCUUUAGGGGUGCUGUUAUACGGUGAAACACCAGCAGAACUCAGCUCAACGCAUCGCUCUUUGCUCAGCUGCUGUGUCCUCGCUGGCUCCCGGGAGCAUCUUCCCCCAGGAGAGGGCAGUGGUGCCCGCACACGCUCCCCGCUCCCCGCUCYCCUCCCAGCGGCGGCGGAGCAUCCGCUCCCUCGGGUGUUCCGCGGGGAACUC